CCUACGGGGGGCAGCAGUGAGGAAUAUUGGUCAAUGGGCGAGAGCCUGAACCAGCCAAGUAGCGUGCAGGAUGACGGCCCUCCGGGUUGUAAACUGCUUUUAGUUGGGAAUAAAAAAAGGGACUUGUCCCUUCUUGUAUGUACCUUCAGAAAAAGGACCGGCUAAUUCCGUGCCAGCAGCCGCGGUAAUACGGAAGGUCCAGGCGUUAUCCGGAUUUAUUGGGUUUAAAGGGAGCGUAGGCGGAUUGUUAAGUCAGCGGUUAAAGGGUGUGGCUCAACCAUGCAUUGCCGUUGAAACUGGCGAUCUUGAGUGCAGACAGGGAUGCCGGAAUUCGUGGUGUAGCGGUGAAAUGCUUAGAUAUCACGAAGAACUCCGAUCGCGAAGGCAGGUGUCCGGGCUGCAACUGACGCUGAGGCUCGAAAGUGUGGGUAUCAAACAGGAUUAGAUACCCCGGUAGUC
rnacentral:rRNA from 1 species